AGACUUCGCCCCGUGUCUAUGAAUUUAUGAAUCAAUCCUGGACUACACAAGAUGAGCCACUGGGUCUUACCUUGUAAAAGAAUCCUAGAAAGAUGGGUUUACAGAGAGUGGUGAAUUGAACUCGACCUCCUGGUUGAAAUGGAAUGCUUUGGCCACUGGAGCAACUUCACUUGUCUAAAGAUUAGAUACUUUUUGUACUUUUUUUCCAGAAUCAAGGCGCAAUCUCCGAACUACACAAGUACUUUGAGACACAUAUUCCCAAAUAUUGAGCAGAUUGAUUCUGAAGUCUACGCAUAGGCAGGGUUGAUGCUGAUCCACAUGAAUAAUCUGCUUUUCUCAGUUUUAAAUUGUCUUCUAUGAGAUCCACCGGAUGAGAUGCUAUAAAACCUGUUAUGGCAUGAUAUAUCCAGCUCCUCCAUCAUUUCAGGAGCUCAAGUCCUGAAAAGAUGAAAAUGCAUGUAGCUUCUACCUAAUUAGUGAUCAUGCAAUGACAUUUGCUCAUUGGUUUUUUGUCUCUGAAGAUACUUAUUUUGUUUGUCCUCGGACUACAAAGGAGUAAGAAUAUUGUUCUCAUCUUUCCCUCCAAAUUAGAAAUGUCGCUUUUUGGUGUUCUGCAUUGUGAACUGAUAGCACCUUACAAUCAUAUCAACAGUGAAAAUAUAAGCGUAAAAUGUGUAAAUUGGUGUUUUACGGUCAAAACAAAUUUUAAUUUUAAUUUU